rnacentral:rRNA from 1 species
GAUGAACGCUGGCGGCGUGCUUAACACAUGCAAGUCGAACGGAAAGGCCGAAGCUUGCUUCGGUACUCGAGUGGCGAACGGGUGAGUAACACGUGGGUGAUCUGCCCUGUACUUCGGGAUAAGCUUGGGAAACUGGGUCUCAUACCGGAUAUGACGAUCUCUUGGAUGGGGUUGUGGAAAGCUUUUGCGGUAUGGGAUGAGCUCGCGGCCUAUCAGCUUGUUGGUGGGGUAAUGGCCUACCAAGGCGUCGACGGGUAGCCGGCCUGUGAGGGUGUACGGCCACAUUGGAACUGAGAUACAGCCCAGACUCCUACGGGAGGCAGCAGUGGGGAAUAUUGCACAAUGGGCGCAAGCCUGAUGCAGCGAGGCCUCGUGGGGGAUGACGGCCUUCGGGUUGUAAACUCCUUUCGCAAUCGACGAAGCCUUUUGGUGACGGUAGGUUGAGAAGAAGCACCGGCUAACUACGUG